ensembl:lncRNA
GGAACAGGUCAUGGAUACCUGGAAAUCAGGAGAGAUCUGACAGGAAAGUUAAAACCUAUAGGAGAAGGAAUAAUCUGCACUUUCUCUCUGGCUCCCAGGUUGUAACUCCUGAGAAAAGAACCUAGAGAGGAAGUGAAAGCUGAGGACUCCAGUGGGCUUCAGGGAGAAAUGCAGCAGUGGAAUGGACCAGUGGAUGCUGUGAGCUGAAACAACCGGGUUAAAGGUGGUACAUAAUUCAUUCUUUUGAUUGGACUUCUCCCACCCUUAAGGAAGCAGCAUGAUUGGUGGCAGUGAUCUCAACUCCAAACACACGGAGAUGGCUUGCGUGGUAACCUAAUAGACGGUACGAAUACACAUCCUAGGUCCCCUAUCUUGGAGACAUCCCCUUAAAAUACCCAACUCUGGCUCAGCGCGUCUCACUUCUCUGAGUGCCCACACUUCACUCUUGAGUGCAUCCUAAAAUCGCUUAGAAAUGCUUCUCAUGGAGUCGGCAAAUCUACGCAUAAACUCAUUCUACAAGGGUGGGGUAGCUUCCUUAUUUCCAGUCUUCAGGACCCUCAGACCCAGCCCGUGAGAAGGUGGUAUCAUUUUGUAAAGAGCUACGUGUUCUGUUGUAAGUUGAACAUAUACCCUCACAAUACUACUUUGAGUAAAACAUUUCUAACUAGAGGCA